UCGGCGCCUUUGUGUGUAUUGAUUUGUUUAUGUUUUUUGUUCUUGAAUAUUGAUUGAUUUUCCAAUUUAUAUUUUUUGUAUUAUUGUUCGAGUUUUUUUAGUGAAUCUUAAUGCAUCUGUUUACCCACUUUUCUAACCAAAGUGAGUAAAAUCACGAAGAAUGGUAGAGAGGUUAAGAACGGAUGCGGAGAUCGAAACGGUUAUCUUACCAACCCAUUGCGUAAUUUUUCUCUUUGCUUUGGCGUCAAAUGAAUCGACCGAAACUUCUCCUUUUAAUUUAGAGAUUUUUUUAUUUAAAUUAGCGUAAUUUUAGAUGGCAGAUGAAGAAUUGAUUAAUUUAUGCUUAAAAAACGCAGAAUAAUAGUGUUUGACAAACAAUCUCCGCUUAUUAUCUGAUGCCAAUGUCUUUAUCAAAAUUAGAAUUUUAAAUAGUUUUGUUUUGUAAUGGGAAGAAACAGUGAUGAGAUACUAGCAGACGGGCGGUCUGAAUUGAUGCCACCGGUUUAGUUUUGGUAUUACUCAGAUCUUCCGAUGAAGCUUCUGCGAACAACGACGACGACGGGAGAAUUAUUCUGGGGAUACUUCUUCGUGAUAAUUGGUUCCGUAUCCUUCUUCGGAUUCGUCUUUGCAGUCAUCGCUUCAACUUUGCUACCGCUCUCUCAAAAUCCCUUAAACCAAGGUCUGAAGAAGGAUAGGUACUACUACUGCUUCUUGGUCCCCUUGACUAUACCUGUUAUAACGGUUGCCGUCUACUUUCAUUGGCUAAGCAUGAAGCUCUUCAAGCACGCCUGAUACAUCCCAUUAGUAUUUGUGAAUUUCAAUUUCACUCUCUCAGCUUGAUGAAAGCUAAUUUGAUGAGAGUGUAUAUGCAUUCUUCUAGAGUUUUGAUGUAUUCAGAUGAAAUUAGAUUUUUCAAUUUUAUGUGGUUAUCUGUUUAUGCUCAAUCCAUUUGAUGAUAAAUAUGCAAGAAUGACGUUUGAAAUUUAAUGUUUUUAACUCAA